UACGUAGGGGGCAAGCGUUGUCCGGAAUCAUUGGGCGUAAAGAGCGUGUAGGCGGCUCGGUAAGUCCGCUGUAAAAGUCCAGGGCUCAACCCUGGAAAGCCGGUGGAAACUGUCGAGCUAGAGUCCGGAAGAGGCGAGUGGAAUUCCUGGUGUAGCGGUGAAAUGCGCAGAUAUCAGGAGGAACACCAAUGGCGAAGGCAGCUCGCUGGGACGGUACUGACGCUGAGAGACGAAAGCUAGGGGAGCAAAUGGG
rnacentral:rRNA from 1 species